AGUGAACGCUGGCGGUAGGCCUAACACAUGCAAGUCGAACGGCAGCACAGUAAGAGCUUGCUCUUACGGGUGGCGAGUGGCGGACGGGUGAGGAAUACAUCGGAAUCUACUUUUUCGUGGGGGAUAACGUAGGGAAACUUACGCUAAUACCGCAUACGACCUACGGGUGAAAGCAGGGGAUCUUCGGACCUUGCGCGAUUGAAUGAGCCGAUGUCGGAUUAGCUAGUUGGCGGGGUAAAGGCCCACCAAGGCGACGAUCCGUAGCUGGUCUGAGAGGAUGAUCAGCCACACUGGAACUGAGACACGGUCCAGACUCCUACGGGAGGCAGCAGUGGGGAAUAUUGGACAAUGGGCGCAAGCCUGAUCCAGCCAUACCGCGUGGGUGAAGAAGGCCUUCGGGUUGUAAAGCCCUUUUGUUGGGAAAGAAAAGCAGCAGGUUAAUACCCUGCUGUUCUGACGGUACCCAAAGAGUAAGCACCGGCUAACUUCGUG
rnacentral:rRNA from 1 species